CCUACGGGGGGCAGCAGUAGGGAAUCUUCGGCAAUGGGGGCAACCCUGACCGAGCAACGCCGCGUGAGUGAAGAAGGUUUUCGGAUCGUAAAGCUCUUUUGUAAGAGAAGAACGAGUGUGAGAGUGGAAAGUUCACACUGUGACGGUAGCUUACCAGAAAGGGACGGCUAACUACGUGCCAGCAGCCGCGGUAG
rnacentral:rRNA from 1 species